UGAUUGAAGAUACAAGAAUAGAUUUAAGAUGAAUCGGAGCCAGAGAGAGAAAAAUGGCCAAUACUGCUUGGUUGUUGAGAAGAGAUUGUUAAUGAGCACCAUGCUGUCUCUUUCCUGAUGAUUCUUUCCUGAUGAUUCUUUGACACUGAGCUUUGUGUAUCUGCAGUUAUAUCACCAUAUUCUUCCAAGAGGCUUAGAAAAAAUUAUACCUGUUAACUAACUUCCUUCGAAUCAAGACUCAGUGUGGAAACAAAAGGAUUCUAAUAUUUUGAGGUACUGUUCAAAAUAUGUGUUAGGUUAAUUAUCUGUACUAACUCUAUAAUUGGUGGUAAUGAAUUCCUGGUUCAGAAAUUCAGGCUAUCAUCACUAGGACUCCAAAUUUGUCUUAAAGCAGAUGCCUUGAUGCCUUUUUAAACCUUGAGUAUAUACCUAGUGCCGCUGUAAGUCCCUUUAGAUUAGACCAAAGCCAUGAAAGUGAAGUCAUAGCAAGGACAAUACAAUAUCCCCUAUCAGAAAGGAAUGUUAUCCUCUUGUAUAGGAUACCGGAACAUUUUUUCACUUAAUUUAUAAGCAACUCACAAAAACAUCUGUAUGCUUAUUUUAAUUACUGCCAAAAAAUCAGAACAAAAUAUUUUACCCGAUAGCUAAAUUUAAGUUUUUUCUGGGCUAACUUCAAUGAUCAUAUGUGCUGGCUUCAUGUCAAAGUAGUCUGACUAUGAUGGUGACAUAUAAAAAGAAAUCUAUUAAAUGGAACAAUAGCACUGAAUUGGAAUGAUAGUGUUAUUAAAGUGAGUGAAAUAUUAGAGCAACAUAUAUGAGUGAUACUCCAUUUGGAUAUUUCUAGUAAGAAUUUCACAAAAUAUAGAUGUAAAUUGGUCAGUACUUCUCCAUAACAGAGUGAAAAACCUAACUUUCCUGCAGACUUGGAAAAUUAUUCAGAAUAUAAAUAUAACAAUUCGUCUAUUGACUUUGUAUCCUAGGAAAUAUGA
rnacentral:lncRNA from 1 species